CGGACCGGGCGGCCCAUCGACCUCUCCUCGUCUGUUCACAAUCCCCCAUUAAGGCCCCCUCUCCUCCACCUCCUCGAGCCCCUCUGCUGCUCCGGCGACCUCCUUCCACGCCGACUGCAACCCGAAAGGCAGACGCAGUCAAUGAAUCCUGCCGUCGCGGCCUCAACCUCUUUCUUGGAGAGUCGCUAUUUGAACUCACAGAUGCCGUAUGACGACGGACCAAUUCCUGACACGGAUGAAAGGUUCGCUGAAUGGUUCCGCCACAGUAUAUAAUAACUGGUAAAAGCAUCAAGUUAAUGGCACGUCUGCGUGAAUGUUGUCGACUCUGACUCGUUCUUAUCCUCAAACUUGCUGCUCUUCCCGUCCAUAUAUAUAUCAUGACAUGCAACUCAUUAUGACCACUACUCAUUGCGGUCUUUCUUCGAGGAGGAGGAGGACGACGAAGAAGAAGUAGACGAAGAAUGGGGAAUUGCAGCAGUAACCGGGUCCGGACAUGGGUCGAUGACGAGGACUGGGACUCACCGGAGGAGAAGACCGAUCGGCGCGGGGAAGGGAAGGCGACGAGGACCUUGGAGAAUCUGAAGGGGGAGAGAGGGGGGCUCUCUUCCACGGUGGUGAAGAUCAAGAUCACCAGGAAGCAGCUGCAGAGAUUGCUGACGCACGCCGACGAACGAGGGUCAUGAGCGCAGGCGUCGUCGUGUACCGUGCACAACGCCGGCGGCGGUGGAGGCCGAACCUGCAGCGCAUACCGGAGGCGUCGGAGGAGGACUUGCUGUGAAUACGAGUCGUUGUAGGAUGAUUAGUGUGCAUGUGAAUAGAAAUAGCAUGUAAAAUCCUAUGAAGGGGAAAUGAGAAUGGAUGAAACAAUACUGCUGAUUUGGGUUUAUAUA